AGGCUGGAAGCUAGAAGAAUAAAGCGACAUGUUCUGUGUCCAUCUCAGAGCAGCAAAAUCAGGCGUGGACGCUUUCCCCCUAUUUGUUUUUGCCUUCGGAUUGUUUAGUGCAAAACAGAAAAAUUAGUGGGGAAGGUUCAGAAAGACUGGAGAAUGUGGAAAUAUGUGGCCAAUGAACAGAGCACAGGUGUGGACUCUGCCCCAAGCCCAGGAGGAUCUGGACAGGAGGACAGGAGAAGUCUUCAUAAACACAGGACGGCCGGCGAGGCAGGGGGACCCUGAGAUCAGAGCAGAGGUUCCCCUGCUCACCCCACCUGCUGAGAGGGCGCUGGUGAGAACAACUUGGGUCAGACACACACACACAGCUGGGGCUGCAAAGUCUCCAGGGAAAGCUGGGGUUCCUUUCGGGUCCUGCCGGAAAAGCCCUGGGCCAACCAGUCUCACCCAGGCUUGCCUCAGUUCCAGGCUUCCUGGAGACCACCAGAAAACCAAAAUAACCUGAAGAUAACAGUAUUAUUAUUUAUCAUUAUUAUGGAGUCAACUAAUGUUUUAGGUACCAGUGACCAGCCAGUGGACCUAACAGAGGGCGUUCCUGCUACCUCCAUAUACAUUCAAGGUCAACAUCAUGCUGAAAUCACACCGAAACCCACAUCUCAACCCAACACUCAUCCUGCGUUCUCUCCCCUUCUGCUUCGCCGGUUUAUUUCCACUUCUUUUGGGCCAUUGCAGGAGAAGGAAUGGCACCCUGUCUGGUGACUCCCUGGUCUUUCACUGACUGGGCGGGGCCAGCUGCAACUCUGCGGCAGGGAAGGGAGCGUGAAGUCGCUGCCACACUCAGCGCAGAGAGUUUAACACGAAACCAGCAACAUCGCUGAAGCUCUAGUCACUGUUUAGAUGUACGAGGGAAAAAAUCAUAGACCACCUGGCCAGUGCCUUCAAGAGUUCACACAGCGCAGGCUGCCGUUGAAGCCACAGGAAAUUAUGGAGCAUUGAUAAAAAGAAAACAACCCGUCUGGAAGAUGAAUCCCUUGCCUUCUUAAGCACCCUUAAGUAUGCCUGUUAAAGAACAGGAGGAUGAACAAGACUUCCACUACACAGCCUCCCGAUCGGGCAGGCCAUGAGACUAUUAAAAGAGAGAAUUGUCCCACCAUCCCAGAAAUCCUUAUCUACUUCCUUUACUCUUCUAUUUCUUGAUUUUUGGAAUUAAAGACUUCUUUAUUGGAGCAUGGUCAGAGCCUGACCUUGCACUUGGUUUAUGCCUGAUAAACUGACUUGAUUUUUUUUUUUUUUUUUUUUUUUUGGCGCUGGGAAUCGAACCCACGGCCUUGUGCUUGAAAGGCAAGCACUUUACCGACUGAGCUACAUCCCCAGCCCCUGACUUGGUUUUUGUUCAUGAACCGUGGCAGGAGGUGAGUGAGCCAUGGACAGUACUUCUAUUUUUGAACAAAGUUUAAUUUAUGUCUUUAUUUAUUUAGGUGCUGGGGAUCAGCCCCAGGGCUGUGCUCACAGCAGGCAAGUGCUCCACCACUGAGCUACACCCCUUCCCUUGGAAAUGAAAACCACAUGUAGUUUCAUUCUUUUAUUCAGGAAAACACUGAAUCUGUACAAAGUAAUGUUUCUAGUUAAGCUGUAAAAAUAUACUCCCAAGAAGAGAAUACUAUUUUGAAAUAGAUUUUUAAAAAAUAGCAAUUGUAAGAUGUACUAGUUGUCUUUGUUACUGUGAUCUUUAGGUCAGAAAAUUUCCUCACCACAUAUUACUAAAUUAAUAAAUAGCCAUUGGAUGUA